rnacentral:rRNA from 1 species
GGUAGUCCACGCCGUAAACGAUGGACACUAGGUGUGGGAGGUGUCGACUCCUCCCGUGCCGAAGCUAACGCAUUAAGUGUCCCGCCUGGGGAGUACGGCCGCAAGGCUAAAACUCAAAGGAAUUGACGGGGCCCGCACAAGCAGCGGAGCAUGUGGUUUAAUUCGACGCAACGCGAAGAACCUUACCUGGGCUUGACAUGUACCUGACCGGUGUGGAAACACACCCUCCCUUCGGGGGCAGGUUCACAGGUGGUGCAUGGCUGUCGUCAGCUCGUGUCGUGAGAUGUUGGGUUAAG